rnacentral:rRNA from 1 species
AUUGAACGCUGGCGGCAGGCCUAACACAUGCAAGUCGAGCGGAUGAAGGGAGCUUGCUCCUGGAUUCAGCGGCGGACGGGUGAGUAAUGCCUAGGAAUCUGCCUGGUUGUGGGGGAUAACGUCCGGAAACGGGCGCUAAUACCGCAUACGUCCUGAGGGAGAAAGUGGGGGAUCUUCGGACCUCACGCUAUUAGAUGAGCCUAGGUCGGAUUAGCUAGUUGGUGGGGUAAAGGCCUACCAAGGCGACGAUCCGUAACUGGUCUGAGAGGAUGAUCAGUCACACUGGAACUGAGACACGGUCCAGACUCCUACGGGAGGCAGCAGUGGGGAAUAUUGGACAAUGGGCGAAAGCCUGAUCCAGCCAUGCCGCGUGUGUGAAGAAGGUCUUCGGAUUGUAAAGCACUUUAAGUUGGGAGGAAGGGCAGUAAGUUAAUACCUUGCUGUUUUGACGGUACCAACAGAAUAAGCACCGGCUAACUUCGUG